UGUAGUGUGGUGAAAUUGGCAGACACGCCCUCCUAUCUCGGGGGUGAAGAGUAAUGGGAUAAAUUGCAUGCUCCCCGGAGCCGCGACUAACCACUUCGUGGAGGUUCAAGUCCUUCCGCUACAG
rnacentral:tRNA from 1 species